ensembl:snRNA U5 U5 spliceosomal RNA
AUCCUCGGGUUUCUCUUCAUUCACACACAAAUCUUUCGCCUUUUACUAAGGAUUUCCGUGGAAGGGAACGUUAACGAGUUCUUCUUAUUUUUGAAGGCUCUGCCAUGGCAUCGGGCA